AGCUGCCUUCUCUAUGUGCAUGCCACACAACUGAUCUGCAAAAACUCGCUUUCUAUGAGGGUGUGUUGUGGGCAUCUGUGUGUGUGUGUGGUGGGCAUGUGCGUGUGUGUG